UAAUGGAUUCCCCCGUUGUGGGCGGAAGUUCUUCUCCGUGCUAGUUCGCCCUCAUUCUGUUUCUGGACUUUGGGAGAGAAGGUGCGCAUUCCUCUGCUCUGUUAUUUUUAUUUUUAUUACCACGUAAAUUGUAUUUCUUUCUUAACAUCGUUGGUAUUGACAUUCGCUGCAACUCGUGUAUGUUUUGUGUUGCAAUUUUCACGCACUGUGUGUUUAUUUUCAUGGAUUAAACCUGUAGAAAAUAUCAACGGUAUUAGCCGCACCAGCAAGCGCCCAGUCGAUCUGUAGGUGAAGAUGCACUGUUCAUGAGAUUUCUACCUCUGUCAUGUAUUGAAAGUGGUGGUGUUGGUGGUUGGUAUGUGCGGUGGAGCACAUGUAUGGGAGCGAGACCUGUAUUGCUCACCAUUGUCUUUUUGAUAUUUGAAGGCAGCUGAGAUCAAAGAAAAAAUGUCCGACUCCCGCAAGCUUGCCGUUUUGGCUGCCCUCUUCGUCAUCUUUGGAUGCGUGGCCUCAGCCAAAUGUGAGUAUUCAUAUUUAUUUCAAUUGAUUGAAGUACCACUCCUUCUAUCACCUGAAUCAAACAUGCAGUUAAGUUUCAAAUAAUUUAUUUAAAUGCAUUUAAAAUGCAUCAUUCUUACAAGAAUAUAUUUGAUUUAGAGACAUAAAACAUCGAUAUAUCAUUCUGUGCAUAUACAGAAUAUUAUUCGUGAUUUUUAUUGUACUCGUUACGGGAGUGCUUUUAUAUCUAACUGUAAGGGCGAUGGACCUGUAAAUGCAAGACAUGCUUUCUGUAGUCAGCCUGGAAGAGUGCUUCUUCCAUAUGUCCAUUCAGUUCAUACCUUGUUCAGCUUUACAGUACACAGACAAAGUGUUUAAUUUAAUUUCCCAAGCAUCUUUCCGCGCAUGCCGAUCGUGGCUGUCGUGACGAUCACCAGCUGGCUGACGUGUCAUCUCAUUCAACUCUUCUUUUAGAACAGAAAUCCUACCGGGUUUUGGAAAGCCUUUCCUGCAAUGGAGGGAAUUAAUAUUGAUACUGAAUUCACAGCACAAAGUGGGGGUCAUAUACAAGUCCCUCUCAAGUGUUUCAUUUGACUUUUCAGUUGUUUCAUUUUCACACAUUUGGAGAGGCAGGCCAACACUGUUGACUCACUGAAAAAGAUUUAACAGGGUUCAGAGGGUAUAAAAUCCCACUGCACAAUCAGUGCAGGUUCUUGUACCAAAGAACAGUUGUAGAUAAUGAGAGCCAGAACAAGCUUACAUUAUUAAGCCAAAAUAACUAAGAAAUACUUUUUUCCAUGGAUAUUCAUUCAUGCUUUAUAUUAAAUUGGCUAUUAGGAUUAUAUAUAUUACAUAUAAUUAUUACAUAGGUUUUCAUUAACUAUGCACACUCACACCUAAUGCUGGCUUCACCAAAUAGUCAAGUUUUUUCUUCCUAUCAGUGUGGGCAUGUUUUGCCCUUGCCCUGUGGUUUUAUGGCAAUAUGGGUAGUGUGAUGGGAGAUGGGUGAGUGCCUAUUGCUACUUUUGUACUGAUAAGGGAAAUGUGUUCAGCUCAAAACAUCUUUUGCCUAUAUGUUCAUCCAUCCUUCCAGUACCUUUUAAACAGGAAGGGCUUUUGGGGAUUUGCAAUAAGGCUUAUUCCACUUGUGUGUGGCAUUGCUGCAUAGCUGACCAACUGUAAGUAUCAUGCCUAGCAAUCAUGUACAGCAGGACUAUAAAUAGUAAAACACAGGAUUCCUUUUUAAAACAGAUAUUCUGCUUCUUAUAUCCUGGACAGUUUGAAUGUGUUUGUGGAAAUAUGUGAGGGUACGGUGUGUGUGUGUGUACAUGUGGAGGAGUGGCCUUUUAAUCUGACAUAUCCAGGCAAUACAAUGUGCAUCUUACUACACUGUUAAAAUAUCAAACCACAGACUGUAAUGUUUAAACUCUUUAAUUGGUUUCAGCCGCCCCAUGGUUCUGUGUUGUUUAGAUGGUUUUCAGAUAAGAUAGUUUCUGGUACUGUAUAUAAAACAGAAUCAGGGGACUGGCUUUCUGGACCCCUUGCUGGAAUUUAAAAACUUUUCAAUUCAAAGCCACUGAUAUUGACUCUCUGAUCUGUUUUCAGAUCGUAUACUGACUAAGGUCACCACCCAGUGCUGCGAGUCAGUGAGUUCCAAGAUUCCGAAAAAAAUCCGCGAUGAGAUUAUCAGCUACACACACCAGAACGCCUUGGAUCCUUGUGUGGAUGCCGUCAUGUGAGCUCUUAUUAUUUAUUUGCUUCUUAAUUGUCCUUAUCCACAGUUAUAUUUUAUAUUUCAUGCACCUCAAAAAUGGCACACCCACGAUCAUGCUAAAAAUGGAUGACCGGGUCUUGAGUGAGGCAGCAGUGUGGUACACUGCCUGGCCAAAAAAAAAGUCGCCAUUUGGAUUUUUUGUUUGGACAGUGCCCACUGUACAAGCCUCUGGAGGCAGUGUUAUGAUCUGGGCCCAGGAGUUCAAAACUUUUUAUCUCAAUCAGAUCCGAUCAGAUUUUGAAAUCCCAUAUUUUGUGAUCCAGGUUCAGACAACUCAGCCACAUUUUGUCCUGGUAUUUCAAAGCAAUUCAGGAUAGGAUCACCCUGAUCCAGAUUCAGACUUUUCAAGAUUACCAGAUCCUGAUUAUCAGGAUCAUUAAUGUAGUAUACAAUUCAUUUCAAAAUACAUUUCAAUAUAAAAAAGAUGGUAGAGUUUGGGAUUCAGUUAUCCCAUCAAUGGAUUUUUUCUUCCCUGACGGCACGGGCAUAUUCCAGGACAAGAAUGCUAAGAUUCAUCGGGCUCAAAUUGUGAGAGAGUGGUUCUGGGAGCAUGAGGAAUCAUUUUCACAUGAAUUGGCCAGCACAGAGUCCUGAUUUUAACCCCAUUGAAAGUCUUUGGGAUGUGACUUUUUACGGAGUGGUUUGACUGCCCCGUCGUCAAUACAAGAUCUCGGCCAAAAAUUUAUGCAAUUCUGGAUGGAAAUAUAUGUUGUGACGUUGCAUAAGGUUGUUGAAACAAUGCCACAACGAAUGCGUGGUGCAAUCAAAGCUAAAGGCGGUCCAACAAAAUAUUAGUGUGCAACUUUUUUUUUGGCCAGGCAGUGUAUAAUAGGUAAGGAGUUGGUUUUGUAACCUGUCACAGGUUCGAUUCCCCGGUCAGUCACUGCCGUUGUACUCUUGAGCAAGGUACUUAACCUGCAUUGCUUCAGCAUAUAUUCUGCUGAAAAAGAGUGUCUGCGAAAUCCCUCUAAUGUAAUGUAAUGUCUUCUUAAAUCUAUUUCAUUGAAAGCAGGAAUGGUAGUUGUGAAUAAAAAAAAGUAUAACAUAUUUUUUACAUAUUUAUGCAUUACGUAUUCACUGCUUAUUCUUGCAAAUUACUGAAUUUCACCUUGUUUCUCAUUAAUUUGUUACUGGCUGCCCUGUACCGAUUCACACAUAUAGUUAAUUGUUAGUUAUUGUACUGUGAUGCAUGUACAAUGAAUAUACCAUGAUAUUGUAAGUCCUUUUGACUAAGUGUGCCUGGUAAUUUAAAUGUCAUAUUUAAAUAAUCAUAUAUUUUAAUAUUAUAAGCUCCCAAACUUUGAGUUUGCCAUUGCCAACCAAUCCAAUCCCUAACGUUUUUACCCUUUAGUCCUUGGGGAAUAUUUAGGAAUAUAAAGUCAUGUCAAUUAAUAACUUUAAUAAUAAUAAUUUUUAUAAAAACCAUGCCAUAAAAACAGUGUCCUAAAAUAUUUGUGCCCCAUGCUGGAAAAAUGUGCAAACAAUGACUUACUCUAAACAUGCAUAUAUAUUUAGAAUUACUGUUGAAUUUAGUUGUUUGACAUCUGCUUUCACCUCUCCAGAUUUCAAACAGAGAACAAUGGCAAAGUUUGCACUGACCCCAAAGCACGCUGGGUACCAAAGAAACUAAAAGAAUUGCAGAAACAAUCGUGAGGACAAUGUGGAAAUGGGCUUUGGAAUGGAUUCAAGGUUUUCUUCCAGGCAAUUUCUUUUCCCUGAUUAUUACUGUAUCUUACUUUAGCCCUGACUAUUAGCCUAGUUAAGUUUAAGAAAAAACUAAAUUCUAUAUUUGUUUUUCUUAGAUUUUUCUGAUUAUGCUGUAUGUCAGUAUGUGCUUAUACAGUACACUAUACUGUAUUUGCUUACUGUAUUUCUUUACUAGCAUCUGUGAAGCAAAACCCAAGUUUUUUAGUUUUUCAAUCAACAAAAUGUGCCUGUUGAUUCCAUUUUGAUCCUAAGUACUUUCUUGUUCACAUCCUUGGAACUAGCUUUAUGUUGGGACUUUGCAAACAUAACAUUUAACCGGAGCAAGCUAAAGACUUAAUGACAGCCCAACUGAAAUCCUGUGCAGGCUUUGUGUGAUUAACAGGCUUGCCAGGUUUUGUAAGCAUCACCUCACUGAAGCUGAUUUCUUUUUGCAUAUUUAAGCAUCUUCCAUGUGUGCGUUCAGCUGCAUGUUCUUUACAAGUCAUUUUUAUUUACUCGUCAACAUUUUUAUCCUGAACAUAGAUAAAUAUAAUUUCUCAAUGCGCUGUUUGAUCUGUUAGUAUAUCACUUUUGGUUUCAGCAACUGAAGCACUUUGUCUAGAUCUUAAACUCCCAAUAUAAAGUUUCUUGUGGUACUUUAGGUCAGUAGUUCUGAACCUCAGUCCAGGGGUCCCCCUGUGUAUGCUGGUUUUUGUUCUGACCAUAGUUGCAAUCUUAGAAUUUUAACAAGCAGUUUAUUUUUCUUAAUUAGAUGCUUUUCAUUUUUGCAGGAAUUGUUUAUCCUCUUGAGCCACAUUGUCAUAAAUAGCUGUGCAUGCCAUGUUGAAUAAACCUCUCAUGUUCAAAUUGUGCUUGUUGUGUUAUAUUGCAAACAAUUUGAUAAAAAGGAUAACAAAAAGGUAACAAAAUUAGGUUGUUUAACACGUGUUUAGGUUAUUUCAUAAUUUCUUUAAUACAUUAUACCUUAAACUUUUUAGCACAAA